UUGUGGACGGGGUGCGGAUUGAGUGACCUUUUGGCGCUAGCGUCUCUGCCGACUGUACUUUGAAUAUAUCAACUUAUUGCCUUCAGGCUUCCAAGGUUUCAGAUGAUAAUCUUAUUGGCUGAUAAUCUUAUUGAGACCCCUGAUGGAGUAGAAAUCACAAGGAGUCUGUCUCUCCACCAAGACAACUGUACUCGCAGAAACUCUCUGAAGUAACUGUUUUGGAACCCUGGAGUCUAUUCGAAUGCUUGCAUCUUCCAGGGGAGAGUCUAGCUGGUAAAUUGGGGUUGAUGCCAGUCAUUAUCAGCAUUUAGUGUAAAACAGCUAGUCAUUCAUGGUCUUUCAACUCUAUGACAAGCAGUUUUGCCCACAUUCCUGGUGUGGCUUGUUGGAGCCAGGGUAGGCAAGAAGAACUUUGUCUUCCGACUACCCUCUUUGUAUGUUCUGGUCACUGAUUACUGCUUUUGAUCACUGAGUUUCAGGCACAGAGGCUGGCUGCCAUUACUUCAAUCCCUUUCAGAUGAAUUGACCUUCAGGGGUUUUAAAGGAAUAGUUUUGUUUGUUUGUUUCCCCAUCACCCCAUUUGGAAGGCAGACAUUUAAGGAUUGGGAUAUUCAAAAGCAACCACUUAGGCCGGGGAAAGUAGAAAGUUACUGCAUAUAACCAGGGAAAGAAAAGACCUGAGAGACCUUAAACUUUCACCUUAGGCAGAUCCUAACCAUCAGCACAGAGACCAUCAAGAAAACAGCAAACCUAGGGUCAUAAGGAAAGUCUGGAUUUUCAGUGUCAUCACAUCAUAAGAUUAAAAUGUU